GAUGAACGCUGGCGGCGUGCCUAAUACAUGCAAGUCGAGCGAACAGACGAGGAGCUUGCUCCUUCGACGUUAGCGGCGGACGGGUGAGUAACACGUAGGUAACCUACCUAUAAGACUGGGAUAACUUCGGGAAACCGGAGCUAAUACCGGAUAAUAUUUCGAACCGCAUGGUUCGAUAGUGAAAGAUGGCUUUGCUAUCACUUAUAGAUGGACCUGCGCCGUAUUAGCUAGUUGGUAAGGUAACGGCUUACCAAGGCAACGAUACGUAGCCGACCUGAGAGGGUGAUCGGCCACACUGGAACUGAGACACGGUCCAAACUCCUACGGGAGGCAGCAGUAGGAAAUCUUCCGCAAUGGGGGAAAGCCUAACGGAGCAACGCCGCGGGAGUGAUGAGGGACUUCGGAUCGUAAAACUCUGUAUUAGGGAAGAACAAACGUGUAAGUAACUGUGCACGUCUUGACGGUACCUAAUCAGAAAGCCACGGCUAACUACGUG
rnacentral:rRNA from 1 species